rnacentral:piRNA from 1 species
AAAAAUUGGCUAAACAACUGA